rnacentral:rRNA from 1 species
GAUGAACGCUAGCGGGAGGCUUAACACAUGCAAGUCGAGGGGCAUCACGAGGUAGCAAUACUUUGGUGGCGACCGGCGCACGGGUGAGUAACGCGUAUGCAACCUACCCUGUACAGUGGGAUAACCCGGAGAAAUUCGGACUAAUACCGCAUAAAGAUAUUUUGAGGCAUCUUAAGAUAUUUAAAGCUUAGGUGGUACGGGAUGGGCAUGCGUAACAUUAGCUGGUUGGUAGGGUAACGGCCUACCAAGGCGAUGAUGUUUAGGGGACCUGAGAGGGUGAUCCCCCACACUGGUACUGAGACACGGACCAGACUCCUACGGGAGGCAGCAGUGAGGAAUAUUGGUCAAUGGGCGGAAGCAUGAACCAGCCAUCCCGCGUGCAGGAAGACAGCCCUAUGGGUUGUAAACUGCUUUUCCAGUGGGCGAAACACUCGUACGUGUACGAGAUUGACGGUACACUGGGAAUAAGCAUCGGCUAACUCCGUGCCAGCCGCCGCGGUAACAC